rnacentral:rRNA from 1 species
GNAUAUUGCACAAUGGGCGAAAGCCUGAUGCAGCGACGCCGCGUGAGGGAUGACGGNNNUCGGGUUGUAAANNNCUUUCAGUAGGGAAGAAGCGAAAGUGACGGUACCUGCAGAAGAAGCGCCGGCUAACUACGUGCCAGCAGCCGCGGUAAUACGUAGGGCGCAAGCGUUAUCCGGAAUUAUUGGGCGUAAAGAGCUCGUAGGCGGUUUGUCGCGUCUGCCGUGAAAGUCCGAGGCUCAACUUCGGAUCUGCGGUGGGUACGGGCAGACUAGAGUGAUGUAGGGGAGACUGGAAUUCCUGGUGUAGCGGUGAAAUGCGCAGAUAUCAGGAGGAACACCGAUGGCGAAGGCAGGUCUCUGGGCAUCUACUGACGCUGAGGAGCGAAAGCAUGGGGAGCGAACAGGAUUAGAUACCCUGGUAGUCCAUGCCGUAAACGUUGGGCACUAGGUGUGGGGGACAUUCCACGUUUUCCGCGCCGUAGCUAACGCAUUAAGUGCCCCGCCUGGGGAGUACGGCCGCAAGGCUAAAACUCAAAGGAAUUGACGGGGGCCCGCACAAGCGGCGGAGCAUGCGGAUUAAUUCGAUGCAACGCGAAGAACCUUACCAAGGCUUGACAUGUGCUAGAUCGCCAUAGAAAUAUGGUUUCCCCUUUGGGGCUGGUUCACAGGUGGUGCAUGGUUGUCGUCAGCUCGUGUCGUGAGAUGUUGGGUUAAGUCCCGCAACGAGCGCAACCCUCGUUCUAUGUUGCCAGCACGUUAUGGUGGGGACUCAUAGGAGACUGCCGGGGUCAACUCGGAGGAAGGU